rnacentral:rRNA from 1 species
GGAUGAGCCCGCGGCCUAUCAGCUUGUUGGUGGGGUGAUGGCCUACCAAGGCGACGACGGGUAGCCGGCCUGAGAGGGCGACCGGCCACACUGGGACUGANACACGGCCCAAACUCCUACGGGAGGCAGCAGUGGGGAAUAUUGCACAAUGGGCGAAAGCCUGAUGCAGCGACGCCGCGUGAGGGAUGACGGCCUUCGGGUUGUAAACCUCUUUCAGCAGGGAAGAAGCNAAAGUGACGGUACCUGCAAAAGAAGCGCCGGCUAACUACGUGCCAGCAGCCGCGGUAAUACGUAGGGCGCAAGCGUUGUCCGGAAUUAUUGGGCGUAAAGAGCUCGUAGGCGGCUUGUCGCGUCGGAUGUGAAAGCCCGGGGCUUAACCCCGGGUCUGCAUUCGAUACGGGCAGGCUAGAGUUCGGUAGGGGAGAUCGGAAUUCCUGGUGUAGCGGUGAAAUGCGCAGAUAUCAGGAGGAACACCGGUGGCGAAGGCGGAUCUCUGGGCCGAUACUGACG